rnacentral:rRNA from 1 species
AGCAGUCGCCACGGUAAUACGUAGGUGGCAAGCGUUGUCCGGAAUUAUUGGGCGUAAAGGGCUCGCAGGCGGUUUCUUAAGUCUGAUGUGAAAGCCCCCGGCUCAACCGGGGAGGGUCAUUGGAAACUGGGAAACUUGAGUGCAGAAGAGGAGAGUGGAAUUCCGCGUGUAGCGGUGAAAUGCGUAGAGAUGUGGAGGAACACCAGUGGCGAAAGCGACUCUCUGGUCUGUAACUGACGCUGAGGAGCGAAAGCGUGGGGAGCGAACAGGAUUAGAUACCCCCGUAGUCCCUGUCUCUUAUAC